AGAGAUGUAGCUCAGUUGGUAGAGUGCUUGCUUGGCAUUCAAAGAGCCCUGGGUUUAAUUCCCAGCACCUCAU
rfam:Neotoma lepida isolate 417 scaffold_293, whole genome shotgun sequence.